CCCGAGGCCACGCCUCCCUCCUGCCCCGGAGGCUCCGGGAGCGCCAGCUAAGAUGAGAAACAGGAGGAACAGGAUGUAUGUAACUUGCCCAAGGUCACAGAGCCAAGAGGUGGCUGAAGCCAGACUUGAACCCAGGCAUUCAGCUAAGAAACUGCAUUCUUAAGCAAAACAUCACAAGACCUGCUCUAGAGAAAGUGUUCCUGCCUCCUGCUAGGCAAGGUGAUGCCCUAGGGGAAAGGAAGGAGGAGAAAGCAGAUACCCACAACAGGUGAAGGAGAGAAAGCAGUCCCACAGACACCCUUCUCUGCUGGAAAGUCCUUCCUAUCUGACUCCAGUCCCACUUGCUGGAGGAGUUCCCCUCAUUUUGUUUCUGAGACAGCCUUCUUCUGUGUAACAACUAUUCAGAGACUUGAAAUCUGCCUCUCUGGUUUCUUCUGUCUUUGCAAAUGUCACAUUAAAGAGAAC
rnacentral:lncRNA from 1 species